UACGGGAGGCAGCAGUGAGGAAUAUUGGUCAAUGGGCGCGAGCCUGAACCAGCCAAGUAGCGUGCAGGAUGACGGCCCUAUGGGUUGUAAACUGCUUUUAUGCGGGGAUAAAGUCACCCACGUGUGGGUGUUUGCAGGUACCGCAUGAAUAAGGACCGGCUAAUUCCGUGCCAGCAGCCGCGGUAAU
rnacentral:rRNA from 1 species